rfam:Tupaia chinensis contig178568, whole genome shotgun sequence.
CACUUCCUCAUGCUGACAUAUUUACUAGAGGGUAAAAUUAAUAACCUUCUAGUAAGAGUGGCAGUCGAAGGGAAGGA